GGAAUGAUUAAUAUCUAAUCAAUCUUUCUAGCAUUAUGUGCUUCAACUUUGCUAUAAAUACGUCUGUUGUCUGUUGCUGAUGGUUUGUGCAUAUUAAAUGGUCGCAGCAGAACUGUUGCAGAUUUUACCAUUUCUUCUGUGUUCUUUCCCACCUGUUGGCGAUAUGUCAAUGGCCCCUUAAUUUCGUUUCCCUUUGGUUUGAACUGAGUAGUUUGAGAACCUUUAGAGAGAUUCACUUUGAAAUCUAAGAGGAAUGGAAGAUGUGGAUAGAAGAAACUUGGAUGGGCAGCCGUGUCUGUUAAAUGGUUCCUGAGCAGAUCAGAUUCUUUCCUAAAGGGCAAUAGAAAUGACCCUCUUGAGGUUAUUUGGCUAGCGAUGCUGCGCUGGGAGUCCUCCAGAAUUCAUUUAAUUCCACUGCAAGAGUUCAAAUCGGUGAGGAUUGGUUAAGGUUGUGCCUUCACCAGGUAUCUUGCCUGAAAUGUUGUUUAAUCUGCAAUGGAGCAGCCAUUGC